UCMGGAGAGGGAGCCUGAGAAACGGCUACCCCAUCCAAGGAAGGCAGCAGGCGCGCAAAUUACCCACUCUCAGAUAGAGGAGGUAGUAAAGACAAAUAUCGAUGCAGGACCCAUAUGAGGCUCUGUAAUCGAAAUGAGUGCAUUAUAAAUCCUUCAUCAAGGAUCUAUUGGAGGGCAAGUCUGGUGCCAGCAGCCGCGGUAACUCCAGCUCCAAUAGCAUAUAUUAAUAUUGCUGCAGUUAAAAAGCUCGUAGUUGGAUCUGGACAUUGGUGUGGAGGCUGUGAGUGUAUGGUUGAGUGGGGAUAUUCUUUGCUUGGCUAUGCCUUAUAGUAAUUCUAUGCCUUGUCUCAUAGCUGUAUCUGUGUGGAGGUUCGCCUUCAUAUGGAUAUUAGCGAAUGUGGGGUGGGUUUGCAGUAAUGUAGCCUACUUCCUUCGUUAAUAUGUAUCUCAUGCCUUUUAACGGGUGUGUGGUACGGACAGCACGUUUACUUUGAACAAAUUUGAGUGCUCAAAGCAGGCCUUGUUGCCUGAAAAGUCUUGCAUGGAAUAAUUAAAUAGGAUUUCGGUCCUAUUUUGUUGGUUUAACAGAACUGAAGUAAUGAUAAAAAGAGACAGACGGGGGCAUUUGUAUGGCAGCGCGAGAGGUGAAAUUCGUAGACCGUUGCCAGACAAUCUAAAGCGAAAGCAUCUGCCAAGUAUGUUUUCAUUUACCAGGAGCGAAAGUCAGAGGUUCGAAGACGAUCAAAUACCGUCCUAGUUCUGACCAUAAACGAUGCCAUCUGAUGAUCCGUGGGAGUUCCUAUUGUGAGCCCACGGGCAAUCCCUGGGAAACCUGUAAGAUUAUGGGUUCCGGGGAAAGUAUGGUUGCAAAGCUGAAACUUAAAGGAAUUGACGGAAGGGCACCACCAGGAGUGGAGCUUGCGGCUUAAUUUGACUCAACACGGGGAAACUCACCCGAACCGAACACUAUAAUGAUUGACAGGAUAGUUGCUCUUUCUUGAUUUAGUGGAUAGUGGUGCAUGGCCGUUCUUAGUUCGUGGUACGAACUGUCUGGUUAAUUCCGAUAACGAACGAGAUUCUACCCUGCUAAUUA
rnacentral:rRNA from 1 species